rnacentral:rRNA from 1 species
AUGAAGGCAACAUUAAAAACUAUCCUCCCACAUACUCUGCAUAAGUUGUGUCGGUGGCAUAUCAUGAAGAAGCACAAAGACCACCUCACCUUGCUGUAUAAGGCGCACGAGAAACUUAAGGAUGACCUCAAUGUGGUGCUGAACCACCCACUAAUGUCGUCAGAAUUUGAACGAGCAUGGAAGGACCUCAUUCAGAGAUACAACUUGCAAGACGAUGAAGUGAUGAAUUCACUAUGGGAAGACAGGCAUGAGUGGAUCUCGGCUUACUACAAGGAAAUUUUGUGUGCUCGGAUGACUUCCACACAGAGAAGCGAGAGCAUGAACCGCAUACUGAAGAAAAAGUUUGUCAAAGAGAAGCAUGAUCUCCAUCUGUUUGCUUAGCAGGUGGACAAGUGCAUUCAGACCAGGAAGGCCGUCGAGCACACAGAGACAGUAGCAAAUGAGUCAGAGGUAAAGACAACAACCCAGUUUGGGUUUGAAGUUCAGCUAUCAAAAGUGUAUACAAGGGCAGUGUUUGCAGAUUUCAAAGAAACACUCUACCGUAGCACUGCAUUCAGAGCAGAAUGGUGCCCUGAGAACCCGACAAAGUAUCUCGUACACCACUACAACAGAUUGGAUGCAUUUGACUGGGCAAGGCAUAAUUUCCAUGUGGUCGCCGAUGAAAAGAAAGGUGUCUACGAAUGUGAAUGCAAACUCUGGACACACACAGGGCUCUUUUGCGUCCAUGUGUUAUGCAUGCUUUCUCAUUUGAGAGUACUCAAGAUUCCUGAGGUGUACAUCAUGAAAAGAUACACCCAUAACGCACGAUCAAAUGCGACGUUUGACAGAAGAGACUAUGAACAAACAGCACCAGAUGGAACAUCACUUUUUUGUCGUAGAAAAUUGCUGACAGAAACAGCAAUGGACCUUGCAAACAGAGUGACAAGGUCCGACACUGGGUGCCACAGAGCGUUGUCUGGUAUGAGGGCACUGACCGAGGAAGUUGAUGUGCUCAACGAAGAAGAAGAAGAAGAAGAAGAAGAAGAAGAAGAAGAAGCAAAACUAAAGCAAGCAGAGAAAUCCCAGCAUGAAAAUAAUGCCGAGCAAGUAGAAAAUACCGAACACAGCGGAACUGGUGCUAUAAAAAAAGAAACAAUUCUUCCACCUCCUGUUUAA